rnacentral:rRNA from 1 species
AGUGAACGCUGGCGGUAGGCCUAACACAUGCAAGUCGAACGGCAGCACAGAGGAGCUUGCUCCUUGGGUGGCGAGUGGCGGACGGGUGAGGAAUACAUCGGAAUCUACUCCGUCGGGGGGGAUAACGUAGGGAAACUUACGCUAAUACCGCAUACGACCUACGGGUGAAAGCAGGGGAUCUUCGGACCUUGCGCGAUUGAAUGAGCCGAUGUCGGAUUAGCUAGUUGGCGGGGUAAAGGCCCACCAAGGCGACGAUCCGUAGCUGGUCUGAGAGGAUGAUCAGCCACACUGGAACUGAGACACGGUCCAGACUCCUACGGGAGGCAGCAGUGGGGAAUAUUGGACAAUGGGCGCAAGCCUGAUCCAGCCAUACCGCGUGGGUGAAGAAGGCCUUCGGGUUGUAAAGCCCUUUUGUUGGGAAAGAAAUCCGUCUGGUUAAUACCCGGGUGGGAUGACGGUACCCAAAGAAUAAGCACCGGCUAACUUCGUGCCAGCCGCCGCGGUAA